GACGAACGCUGGCGGCGUGCUUAACACAUGCAAGUCGAACGGAAAGGCCCUGCUUGCAGGGUACUCGAGUGGCGAACGGGUGAGUAACACGUGGGUGAUCUGCCCUGCACUUCGGGAUAAGCUUGGGAAACUGGGUCUAAUACCGGAUAGGAGCCAUCUUUAGUGUGGUGGUUGGAAAGUUUUUUCGGUGUAGGAUGAGCUCGCGGCCUAUCAGCUUGUUGGUGGGGUAAUGGCCUACCAAGGCGGCGACGGGAAGCCGGCCUGAGAGGGUGUACGGCCACAUUGGGACUGAGAUACGGCCCAGACUCCUACGGGAGGCAGCAGUGGGGAAUAUUGCACAAUGGGCGCAAGCCUGAUGCAGCGACGCCGCGUGGGGGAUGAAGGCCUUCGGGUUGUAAACUCCUUUCGCUAGGGACGAAGCGUUGUUGUGACGGUACCUAGAUAAGAAGCACCGGCUAACUACGUG
rnacentral:rRNA from 1 species